AUUAGAAAUAGUUGAUUAAUAUUGAGAUUAAGAAUUUAAGACGUCAUUUGAGAGACAUUUGUAGCACAUUGAGUAAACAUAAUAUUUUGACUAGUGACAUCACAGUUGCUUGUUGUAUAGUUGAAUUGAUGGCAAUUACAUUUUAAAUCAAUCUCAAAUUAAAUUAAUUCAAUUCGAAAUUAAUUUUGUAUUUGCACAACACGACACUUAAUGCGUGACCUCGUGAUAAAAUCUCGUCAAUAGCUCCGCCCCAAAUAGGAAGUCAUGCACAACCAUUGUUCAACCAUUUGUUUUGCCAGGGAAAAGGUAAACGUGGAGGAUACGAGUAGAUUUAGAUAAAGUCUAAACACUUGCGUUCUAAACAAAGUUAAAGAUUUACUAGCAAAUGACAAUGGAGAAUGCUGCCCACCUUCAAAGUCAGCUAACCUCUCUCAUGAACGCGGUAAUGAGGGCAGCGGUCGUGGAAAUAGUCAGACUUGUAGAGGGCAGCGCCGUGGCCCUUCGCGAAGAGUUGUCCAAGAGUAAACGGGAGAACGAAGCACUGAAAGCCGAGAACGAGUCGAAUAAAAAUAAGAUGCAAAAUUUGGAAGCAAAACUAGCUGCAGAGCAGCGUUCUGUCGGUUGUCAUGUAGCCGAAGCUGGUGGCGAUCCGUUUUUCCAAACAAAGGAAGAUGUUAAGGCUUGUGCAGAGAAGACCCGUGCAAGGCUGCAAUCUUUGGAGCCAGCAGGCCAAUCCCAGGCUACAGCUUUCAAUAAAGGGGAAGGCCUAAAAGUUGUUGCCACGGAGAAGGAUGGAAUAAAAGUACUUCGCAUCAAGAAGGAAAUAAAUGAAGGCACAGAACAUGACACACCAUGUCCAAUGACAGGUGAGCAGCCGUGUCCCAAAGUGGACAUGGUGUACGGCAAGGAGUGGAGCCAAAGCCUGUGGCGAGACGGAAAAGAAAUAGGAGACCAUAGCGACAGAACAGAGGAGAAAGAAACUCCAGGACCGUCAAUGACCCAGCAUCAGAAAAGGAGAAUUGUACAUUAUGCGGAUGAUUGGAUUGAAGAGGACUGGAUUAAAGAGGAGGGCGUACCAGUGGAAACCAAUGAAAGUAUUGAUACUUCAGUCAUCCCAUUCAUGGCGGACAGUGAUUUGUCAGAGUAUGGAGACGGACUGUCCACACUUUGCAGCCAAGCGAAUUACAUGGAUGCCAUGACAGAGAGCUUGAAAGGCAGAUUAGGGUCUGUUAGGGAUAAACAAACCACACGAUUAAAAACUGGAUUGUUGGGGAAUACCAAUGCCAAGAAGAAACAGAGAAUAAUUGAACUAGGCUGGAUGGACUUCAAUGAAAAGGGGCAAGAGUUCAAGCAAGUCAGGACAGUAAACGGUGGCGGUACAAGACACCUCUAUGUUGACAAAAAGAAAUCUGUUGAGGAAAUCAAAGUAAUGGCAGAGGAAAUGUUUUUCCCAAAUGGACUUUCAAAGAAAAACACCCAACUGGAGGACUAUCGCAGAGAAAUCAGAUGGAGGUACACUCAAGUAAACAAUUCAAGCACUGUGGAAGAACUUUAUGAGGAAACCAAAGUGGGAUGUCUACGACUCUAUCUUUGCACAAAGGCACACAAUGUCCGAGAUUUUGGGGUUGUAGUCGGUGCCGCCUCCGCCUAUACCCAGAGUACGCGCUGCGCGUAGGGCCCCGCCUAUACACAGUACACGUUGCGCUUAGGGCCCCGCGGCCCCUAGAGGGCUCCCCACCCAGGGACUUUAGGAACUCAGUCGGGGUCUCAACUUACUGUUGGGAGUUAAAACAGCAGAAUACAUAUGGUUGCAAUUCCAAAUGUGGUUGUGCAUCAGCAGUUUUCUUUUCGUGUCUGUCACUGACAGUCACUCAAUUAGCCCAUGUCAACUAACAUUUUAUAGAUUGCUAGGUAACUUAGUCUGGCCAGCUUGUAGUAAUCAUGGCUGAAUUACAUGGAGGGGGGGCCCUCCAACCAAAUUAUUUGAUCAAAUUUGGUCUUUACUACUAUAGCCCAUAGAAACACGUUGAAUAGCACAUUCAUAAAUGGCAAAAAAAAUACAGUCAAAAAUAAAUCAUAAGGUUUUGUAGUGUCUUUCCUAUGUCUAGGAGAUCUAAGAAAGCUCAGGAAAUAUUUUAGUUUUUUGGACACAUUUUAACCCCUUAUUCUUGUUGGCACAACUACCUCCAUUCAUUUGUAUGGUUUACCUUCAGACGAGUCCCGAGACACUUGUGUUGGUCGUAGAGCAAAAUGGAGAACACCAUCGAUUGGUCUGACAAUCAGGGCUGUAGCUCUGCCACAUUCCAGAUAUCUAUAGUUUAAACUGACGGAUUUUGAUGGGGGUAUCUUUAUCACAUUAGUUAGAUUGCAUCAAAUAGACUCAACAGCCUAAUUCUUGAGGACACAAUUACCAUAUAUUUUUUACUCAUUAGAUUAUAAUGUAUAUACAAUAAUCUAGCGUGGAAAUGUUUACUCAAUGUAUUAAAACUGUGACUUGUUUUGUUUGUACCAAUGAUCUCAAAUGUCAUUUUUUGCUGAUGUGGAAUUUUUUUAUGAUGCUUUCUUUAGUUAGGCGGCAGGUAGCCUAAUGGUUAGAGCGUUGGGCCGGUAACCGAAAGUUUGCUGGAUCGAAUCCCCGAGCUGACAAGGUAAACAUCUGUCGUUCUACCCCUGAGCAAGGCAGUUAACCCACUGUUCCCCGGGCGCAGAAGACGUGGAAUGUCGAUUAAGG
rnacentral:lncRNA from 1 species